AUUAAACGCUGGCGGCAUGCCUUACACAUGCAAGUCGAACGGCAGCACGGGGGCAACCCUGGUGGCGAGUGGCGGACGGGUGAGUAACACAUCGGAACGUGCCCUGGAGUGGGGGAUAACGCAGCGAAAGCUACGCUAAUACCGCAUAUUCUGUGAGCAGGAAAGCAGGGGAUCGCAAGACCUUGCGCUUUGGGAGCGGCCGAUGUCGGAUUAGCUAGUUGGUGGGGUAAAGGCUUACCAAGGCGACGAUCCGUAGCGGGUCUGAGAGGAUGAUCCGCCACACUGGGACUGAGACACGGCCCAGACUCCUACGGGAGGCAGCAGUGGGGAAUUUUGGACAAUGGGCGGAAGCCUGAUCCAGCCAUGCCGCGUGAGUGAAGAAGGCCUGUGUAAG
rnacentral:rRNA from 1 species